GAGGGAUCCAGUAUUACUGCACCCAUAUCCAGUCCCAGGCAUGGACACGAGACUCCUGCUGCAAAGCAACAUCCCCCAUUCCAGGUUCUACUACAAGCUUGAUUAGCCCCAGUUUAUAGGUAACAAGCUCAGGAGUGUCUUUUUUAACUUGGAAUGGAUCAAACUGCUUGGCAGUGAGAGUUUUAUUUACAUCCCUUAGUCUUGUUGAGCCCCAUUCACAGAUAAUCCUGUUUCUAUAUACAGCACUUACUGUACCAGAGAUAUACCACUAGCCAGCGGUUUUAGACCUUGGUCCUCCCUCAAUGGUCUGCUUUUUAAAUAUCUAUUUUAAACAUGCAUUGUUUUCCUAUGCACAUAAGACAGCUCUCACAGGGAGACAGCCCCUGAGAUUUCAAACAGCGUGCAACUGCAAUGGUUGAUCUAGCGUCUAUGGUUGAUCUAGUGUCUAUGUUCUUUACCAGACCGCAAUGCACCCCCCCCCCCCCAACAUAUGCAAUUGACUCAACCAGAAAUACGCCGUGUCGUCAUUAAACCAAUCUGAAGCAUCAUUUUUCCAACAAGCAAUAAAUCAGUUUGUGUAAGCGUGGCUUUUGUUAUUAGAGAUUCAUGUAUUAAGUUUUACCAAAGUGGUAAAAUGGUUGUUUCAAGUCAGUGGUUUAUAUGUGUCUCAGCUACUGCCAUUAAACAGUGAAACACUUACUGUAAUUAAGGCUAGCAGCCUAUCAGUCAUGUCACAUUGUUUUGGCCUCGAAUCUUGAACACUUUAUGGUUAUUUUCUGUUAUUUACUGCAUGUACUUAGGAAACUGUGCUGCGUUUGUUUAUAAACAGCAUACUGCACGUUAACAGGAUGUAACUCUCUAACCAGUGUUACCAGUUCAUUUUAUAUCAUGUACUUGUUCAUCUGGCUCUUAGUUAUAGGAAAUGUUAUCAUUCCAUAAGGGAAUUGCUUUAGUGCUCAUAGGAUUGUAUUUCCUGCUGUUUCGGCCAUUAUCUGAUGAGAUUUUGGCACAGGGGUGAGAAGUGACGCAAUGAACCGAAACAUUGCUUUUUAUUCUUCAAAUUUUUUAAAAUCUGCUGCGUUGCAUUUUCUUUUGGUCCACGUUGCUUUGUGUAUGUAUACCUGUACAUUUUUUUUAUAUAUACUGUAAAUGCUAAAUAAAAAUAAUAAUACAAAAUAAAAUAAAAAUAAAAGAUUUUAUAUUCGUCAUCUCUGAUUAAGAAAGAGGUGAAUCCCAGGUGUGGUUUGACACCCUAAACAGAGCGUGUGGUUAAAUACUUUUGCGCAGUGUCAGCACCAGUUCAAGGCUGAUGGGAAAAGACUCACAGCCGCCAAACAGAAUCUGAAUUACUGUCUGAGCGUGUUCCAGCAGUUACUGUUCAUUACUGUGGUGCACUAGAUUUGAAGUUUGGAAUAAUGCACCCAGUCUCUGUAUGUGCAACUUCAACCAAACAAGCCUUCCCAGGAAGUCAAGUAAUGAAUUAUCCCAUAAAGCGAUGCAGCUGUGUGUCUCUGCGGUUACUGUGGCAAGCAAAAAAAAAAAGCUAGUUGCAAGCUAUCGCAGCAAAUGACCAACACAAUACACAACUUGAUGUUUGACCCCCCACCACUCCCCGAACAGCUGCAAGAGAAUGAAGUCGAUCUGUCUUGAGCCGCAGCGGACUGGAAGCCUCGUAUCCCAGGGGCGAGUCCAAGAUUUGGGUGAGCCCGCCACACCCUGUUCUCUCCUGUUCCUCAUUAAUGAUAUCAUCCCUGCAUUUCACAAUACCAGAAAACAAUCCCUUCACUAUAUGUAAUGGGAUCCAGACACCAAGCAGGGACCCUGUGGACUCAUGUUUGCAAACUCUACAGCCCCAGUAAUACCAGCAGCAGCUGUGCUUUUACGAGAGUCUAUUAUACAUGACUGGGCUGCCAGCCAGGUCCAGUACUGUGUACUGUGUUGCCCAUUAUCUUUAUCGUAUGGGCAGGAGUUGACGAUUUCUUAAGUGGUUUUAUUAAACACGUCUCUUAUGCAGUUCUAGCCUGGGUUUACAGUAAACAACCGUACAUUGAAACAAGUACAGUAUAUUAAAGUCGCUUACUGACAGUAUAUAGUGAACAACUCUACUCAUAUAAUGCAAAGACGUGUCAUGAGCAAGCAUAUGGUAGUAAUAAAUAAUACUGAAGGGUUUUGCUUCGUCUUACUGGAAAUGUGCUCAUCUGCUUAGGAUAAAGGAUUUUUGGUUCAAUUCUAAUUUCUCCUUCACCAGUGAAACCAGUGGCUAAUACGUCAAGCAGUGGGAUGCUAGCACUGUAACCUGUAAUUCACUUGCCUUCCAAUUAUGUUAUAUUGUAACAAAUCCAGGGUCCAUACAAUCUGGCCAGGGCUUGUGCAACAGUAACGCCAAGCACAGUGUGCUAAAAAGCCUAUUCCAAGUUUCAUCAUGGCUAGAUGAGGGUGGAGCUCAAAGUGGAGGUACAUGACCUCCAUGAUAACCAGCCAGGCAUCAUUACUAGCAAACUGGCUGCCAUGGCUCAGCUUUCUUUUUCUCUCUCUUAAGAUACUUCUCCUGUUCUUGUGGGAACACGCAGGACUAUUUUUACUCGCUGCAUUCCUCCAGUUUUCUCAUGCUGAAUUUUCCACUGGCUUGCCCGGUUGGUGAUUUAUUUGAUGGCUGUUGGUUCCUGCUGAAGAUAAACAAGGUUUUUUUGUGUAAUUUGGAAGCCUGGCUCCUUGUUACAUUGUCUUGUUCCUAAUGGUGACUGUAGUUAUAAUGGCAUGGGCAUUGUCAGUGAGAAUAGGCAGGUUCCUCAGCGCUGGGAAGAAGUUUCCUCUCUGGUUAUUGUUAAUUGCUUUACCAGUUGUUUUAUGAAAUAUAGAUCGAACAUUUUUUCGGAUUACCAGUGUUGUGAUGUGUUUCUGUAUGGGAAAUUCAGUUUACUAUUAAAGACUAGCUAGGAUGGCACGACUCCCAGAUAUUGAGUUGUUUUUUUUUUCCCUUGCAUGAGAUCAUUUAAUAAUAUUUCCUGGAUCAUAAAACUAAAUUCUUCCCCUUUUUUCACCCUUCUAAUUUAUAGUCUAAUAAUUUGUUUUUUUAAUAGAAUCUUUAAAAUGAUCAGACAUAAUUCUUAUCUUUAAAAUGAUCAGAUAUAAUAAAGCAAUGUAUGCUGAAUUCUUCUCUUUGCUGAUCUUCAUUUGAAAUCUCAAGCAGUUUCCUCUGAAACCCGUUGGCCUAUGAGAGCCGGAGUGUUUGUUUACAUCCACUAGAAGUGUUGGUGACCCUUGCAUUUUGAUAUAAAGGUGUAUCGGAGAAAUAGGCAUCAAACUGAAAUGUUUGUCAGCAUAACAAAUGUGUUUAACACUUCUUUCAAGCGGAAAGCUUGAAGUCGCUGGUUCACUUGUGCAAAGAGCUGGUUCCAAAGAUGUUGGUAUCUGUUUAAGACAUGUGAAAUGUGCGUUCUUAUAUGAGAGCUGCUUCCUGUGGAAAGGUGCACUGCCAAGAUAAGGCUGGGUUUGACACAGGGAGAGAUCAAUCCUGGAUAGAGUUCCUUCCUAGCCCCAGGCCACAGUGCAAACAAUCAGGCCAUGUGUUAUUUCUGAAGGGGGUCAUGUGUUGUUUUCAAGUAGAACAGGGCAUAAAGACUCUUUGUCUGGAGGGAUAUGAAAAUCUCUUGCAAUUUUUAAUAGUGCAUAAUAUUUCAAUUGUGCAUGGAAUUCUGACAGAGAAAAAAAACCAGCAUAACAUAUUCUUUUACUGGAACGCCAGUGUACUGGGACUGCUCGGGUGUGCUUUUAGACUUUGGGAGCGGGGGGAAUAAAAUAGUGCAUCAUAGUCUGCGAAACAGCCCCGAAAUAUUCCCGAAAAUAAUGGAACUGCAUCGACUGUACCACACUCCCAAACCACUUACACCUGCUACUCAUCAGAUAACACAGAACAAAGAAAUGAGUAAAUCAAAUCCAAUUAGUAUCAUCCUUAAUGCCAAAUCCUGGAAUUGAGGAUGAUGCAAAUUGGAUUGUAAGCUUACUUUGAGCUCCUCUGCCUGAUCAGAUGGUGUAACGUUAAUAAUCUGAGAACCCUGAGCACAGUAAGUGUGUUUUGGUAUGAGUGCUAAUGGCUGUUAAGCGAACAAUACCAGAUGUGCCAAAAAUAACCACUGUGGCUGUGGUCAGGUGCCAGUGGCCUCACUUCCUCUGCUUUCUUGAGCUUACUUGUCUGUUGAACUUCUCGAGACCUGAGUUUGUGCAGCUGUAUCCCCAAACUUCUACUUAUUUUUUAACCCGAUGACUCCACUUCAGUUAUUUUUGCCUGUUGUUGUAGAGCACUCAUGUUUCCAUGUCUGCUUUCAGAGGAUGGUAACAUUCGGUCUGUGUUGCAGCACUUCUUAGGAAACCAAGGGGUGGGGUGUGACAAGGUAUUGACAGUACAGGAAAAAAAUGUGUGUGAAGCUUUGCUGCUAACAUCCCAGCUCCUGGCUUGUUUAAAGUCCGUAUCUCUAUUCAUGACUUCAUACACUGUGAGUGGACAGAUAGUGAUCCCUGUAUCGCAUGACAAGAUCUGUCUGUGUUGUCUGUGCCAUCCCAUCCUUGCAAAGCACUUUCUGUCUCUGUUAUCGGAAGAUGUUUAUAGGAACAUGCAGGAAAGGUCAGGAAGCGUGGCUUUUGAAAAGGAUGGGAAAGGAUGUUUAGGCUUUUUUCUGGUUGUGAAUUAAAUGGGCCACUUCCACAGGUCCAUUGUUAGCAAACUGGACGGGUGGCGAAGGAGAGAAAUAAGGUUUCCUGUUUUGGAAAUUACAGAGCCGAGAGUCCGCUCAGGUGCUUAUUGUUUUUCCCUUCUCAGUUCUCAUUGCAAUGCAGUUUAUUGAGUUGCCAUUUGCUUUGAAGUUAUAUGUUGCCAGGAUCCAGAAUUACAAAUGAUUAAUUUCCUUCACAGAGGUGGUGAAGAGCUCACUGUAAUUUAAACCACCAGAAAGCACUCUCUCCUCCCCAUACGCCAUUUCAGGUACAUUAAAAAAGUCCAAAUGAAAGAGUUCUUUUAGAAACCUAAUGGUCUUGAUAACAGGAACUGUACGUUUGCAUUGUCUAACAGUUCAACCCCCUGUAACUGUAUAGCACAUGUGUAACUGUUGUGGCUAUCUUUGUGUGGGGUACUCAUUUACUGUGGCUGUAAUACUUUCCCUUGACAGCCCUGUGCAGCUCCUGUAUUGAACUGUCAAAGAGGGGUCAGACGGUGUACUGCAGGUUAGGUUCCAGCUGCUCAAACCUUGUAGCAUUUACUUGAUAUCUAAUACAACCUGCUUUUAUGAGAUGCAUUAGCUUUAUUAAACUCCCUGUCCUGAGUGUUUUUUUUCUGGCUCUUUUGCCUUUGCACUUGGAUAGUCUUGGCUUCAAACCCACCAGUGGGUGUUCCCUGUGUUGCUCUCAGCGCUUCAGUGUUUGCUGUUCUUUCCAAAAGUGAGAACUUCUUUCAACUUUGAUGGCUAUUGGUUCCUGGGUUCCUGGCUCCAGGCUCCGUUUGAAUUCCUCAGUGACUGUAGCAAAGUUUACCAGAUUAAAAAGUAACAUUGAAGUACAUGGGGAGGGGGGCAUAGAUCCUCUGGCUUUGGAUCCCUUCAGAUAAGGUAUUAGUGUAUGAAAGAUCAGAAGCCUGAUAGUUAACGCAUAACUGGUUUGUCUGUUUUGAAUAUUGCACAUUGCUGCCCCAAAUACCUUAUAGCCUUGCACUGAAUAGUAUAUCGUAGCCCUGCAACCCAUCUGACAUUGUUAAGGCAGGGGUUGCUUUUUUAAAAAUAAAAAUAUAAAACCUAUUGCAAAGAAAAGAUAACUGCUGAUACUUACACAAGUGGUUUCUUCUUUCAUUUCCAGCUGUAUAGCAUCUUUGUCUUGUAUGUCUUCCUUAUGAACACAGUGGA